rnacentral:rRNA from 1 species
GAUGAACGCUGGCGGCGUGCUUAACACAUGCAAGUCGAACGGAAAGGCUCCUGCUUGCAGGGGUACUCGAGUGGCGAACGGGUGAGUAACACGUGGGUGAUCUGCCCUGCACUUCGGGAUAAGCCUGGGAAACUGGGUCUAAUACCGGAUAGGACGAUGGUUUGGAUGCCAUUGUGGAAAGUUUUUCGGUGUGGGAUGGGCUCGCGGCCUAUCAGCUUGUUGGUGGGGUAAUGGCCUACCAAGGCGUCGACGGGUAGCCGGCCUGAGAGGGUGUACGGCCACAUUGGGACUGAGAUACGGCGCAGACUCCUACGGGGGGCAGCAGUGGGGAAUAUUGCACAAUGGGCGCGAGCCUGAUGCAGCGACGCCGCGUGGGGGAUGACGGCCUUCGGGUUGUAAACUCCUUUCGCUAGGGACGAAGCGCAAGUGACGGUACCUGGAGAAGAAGCACCGGCUAACUACGUG